UCAUGGGAUGCUGUCUGGGGUCCACCUUUAUUGGCAAAGGAGUUUCAUGACCAUGAUGUUAUGUCUGCUCAGUUGGAAGACCCCAACAUGAAUCAAGACAUCAGAGGAAAUGAGUGCUGAUCCUCCAAGAAGACAAGCUCAUGAAGUCAUCAUCAGUGACGGCAAAGGAAAUUAAGGAAAACCAAGAUGGUGGAAAUGGUAGUGUCUGUGAGCUGAGGCCAAUGAUCCAGACAGAGGAAAAGUGAUGGUGCAGAAGAGAAGAGCUCUGGGAGGGUUUUCAGAGCUGUGAAGGGCUUGGGCGUCGAAUGCAGGUGGAGGUUCGGCCUAUGGCAGGGCAAGACAGCUUUCAUGCGAAAUCACAGGUCGGAGGGCAGAACAGGAUGGCCACCAGGCAAGCCACGCUACAAAUCAGAACCCAAAUGGUUUCCGUGGGUGGAACAUCUCCCUGCGUUUCUGAGGACAUCAGCGCACGUGGUUUCUUUCCCGGCCGCCGCAGCCCACUUGGUCGGUUUCCUCCUAGUUUUGGCCUGGUGCCCUCCCCGCGGGGCUCUGCCGGGUCUGCGGGUCGGGGCCGUCCGUCCUUUCACCCUGGAGGAGAGAAAGCAGAGAUGGGAAGCUUGCGCGCUCGGGCGGGGCCAGUCCACCGAGCCCGACG
rnacentral:lncRNA from 1 species